CAGGGGCCUUUUAGAAGUUGCAGCUACUUUCACAUAGCUGUCAUGAUCAAAGAGUAGCCCAGUUACUUCCUUGAUGGUUGCUGUUGUAUUUGCUGUAACUGAUCUGCAGUAUUUUGAGAAAAGACAGAU
rnacentral:snoRNA from 1 species